CCAGUGUGACUCGUCACACUAUCAUUAACUGAAUCCAUAGGUUAAUGAGGCGAACCGGGGGAACUGAAACAUCUAAGUACCCCGAGGAAAAGAAAUCAACCGAGAUUCCCCCAGUAGCGGCGAGCGAACGGGGAGGAGCCCAGAGCCUGAAUCAGCAUGUGUGUUAGUGGAAGCGUCUGGAAAGGCGCGCGAUACAGGGUGACAGCCCCGUACACAAAAGCGCACAUGCUGUGAGCUCGAUGAGUAGGGCGGGACACGUGGUAUCCUGUCUGAAUAUGGGGGGACCAUCCUCCAAGGCUAAAUACUCCUGACUGACCGAUAGUGAACCAGUACCGUGAGGGAAAGGCGAAAAGAACCCCGGCGAGGGGAGUGAAAAAGAACCUGAAACCGUGUACGUACAAGCAGUGGGAGCACCCUUUGGGGUGUGACUGCGUACCUUUUGUAUAAUGGGUCAGCGACUUAUAUUCUGUAGCAAGGUUAACCGUAUAGGGGAGCCGCAGGGAAACCGAGUCUUAACCGGGCGUUAAGUUGCAGGGUAUAGACCCGAAACCCGGUGAUCUAGCCAUGGGCAGGUUGAAGGUUGGGUAACACUAACUGGAGGACCGAACCGACUAAUGUUGAAAAAUUAGCGGAUGACCUGUGGCUGGGGGUGAAAGGCCAAUCAAACCGGGAGAUAGCUGGUUCUCCCCGAAAGCUAUUUAGGUAGCGCCUCGUGAACUCAUCUCCGGGGGUAGAGCACUGUUUCGGCUAGGGGGCCAUCCCGGCUUACCAACCCGAUGCAAACUGCGAAUACCGGAGAAUGUUAUCACGGGAGACACACGGCGGGUGCUAACGUCCGUCGUGAAGAGGGAAACAACCCAGACCGCCAGCUAAGGUCCCAAAGUCAUGGUUAAGUGGGAAACGAUGUGGGAAGGCCCAGACAGCCAGGAUGUUGGCUUAGAAGCAGCCAUCAUUUAAAGAAAGCGUAAUAGCUCACUGGUCGAGUCGGCCUGCGCGGAAGAUGUAACGGGGCUAAACCAU
rnacentral:rRNA from 1 species